UCCUCCCAUUCUGUGAUCAUCACUGAACAUAGAACAUUCAGCAUGGAGUUGAGACUGAGCUGGGUUUUUCUUGUUAUUCUUUUAAAAGGUGUCCAGUGUGAAGUGCAGCUGGUGGAGUCUGGGGGAGGCUUGGUGCAGCCUGGAAAGUCCCUGAAACUCUCCUGUGCAGCCUCUGGAUUCACCUUCAGUGAUGCCUGGAUGAACUGGGUCCGCCAGGCUCCAGGGAAGGGGCCGGAGUGGGUUGCACAAAUUGAACCCAAAAGUUAUAAUUAUGCAACACACUAUGUGGAGUCUGUGAAAGGCAGAUUCACCAUCUCAAGAGAUGACCCCAAAAGCAGCGUCUACCUGCAAAUGAACAGCUUAAGAGCUGAAGACAGCGCCAUUUAUUACUGUACUGGAGACACAGUGAGGGACCUUCAGUGA